GACGAACGCUGGCGGCGUGCCUAAUACAUGCAAGUCGAACGCUUCUUUUUCACCGAACUUCGGUUCAUCGAAAAAGAGGAGUGGCGAACGGGUGAGUAACACGUGGGUAACCUGCCCAUCAGAAGGGGAUAACACUUGGAAACAGGUGCUAAUACCGUAUAAUGCUUUUUCUCGCAUGAGAGCAAGCUGAAAGGCGCUUUUGCGUCACUGAUGGAUGGACCCGCGGUGCAUUAGCUAGUUGGUGAGGUAACGGCUCACCAAGGCCACGAUGCAUAGCCGACCUGAGAGGGUGAUCGGCCACACUGGGACUGAGACACGGCCCAGACUCCUACGGGAGGCAGCAGUAGGGAAUCUUCGGCAAUGGACGAAAGUCUGACCGAGCAACGCCGCGUGAGUGAAGAAGGUUUUCGGAUCGUAAAACUCUGUUGUUAGAGAAGAGCAAGGAUGAGAGUAAAAUGUUCAUCCCUUGACGGUAUCUAAC
rnacentral:rRNA from 1 species